CCACGUCUGUGUCCCCGGGGCCCCUCACACUGUGCCUGGCUCCUGGGAGGGACUGAUAGGUUGGACGGAGCGGUGGCCACCUUAACUCUGCACUGAGGUCUGAGUUUACCUUUUACUUUCUUCCUCGACAGUUUAACUUUACUGAGCCCUGUGCUCCUGCCAAACUGCGACAGUUAAGAACUACCCCCAACUUUUGUCUUCCAAGAAAUGGCUCACUGGAAAGAACCAUACUUCCCUGUACGACUAAGAGAAGACUUGCCCACACCCCCCGGUCCACCCGUGACGAGGCAAGAUGCAGAGCCUCCGCCACCCACUCUUGCCUCGCAAGCGAUCGGCUGAGCUGUUGUCCCACUGACCAGUCUGGACAAGAGGCCAGCUCACUUGACGCAACCAGAAGUCAAAACACUUUCAGAGGAUGCUUCACAGAAGGCUCAACUCAGAACACCUGACAGACGACGCCCUAAACAAAGACAUUCCAUCAUCUCACCAAGAACGGAAGUCAGGAGGAGGAAAUCGUAUCCAGAAGCCCCUUAGGAGAUCUCCCCUGACAUCUCAUCGACCGGAGCUGGGUUACAUGGUUACUCCGAGACCUGAGAGAAGCCGGGAGGGCACAGAACUGCUUUGAAGAACCCAAGUUAAUUGGAAAUCUUUCCUAAAAUCAUGCUGCACUUUCCAAGGCCAUUUGAAAAUUCAUGUGCAAGGGUCACACGGCCCCUGUGAGUCCAGCCAUUGGGGUCUUCACACUAUUUCAAGUCGCCGACUUGGCUCUGAGACCCCUGUUAUGAAAGUGCCCAUCUGUGAGUUGCCUUUGAAAGUCACGGAAAACACAAAGCUCGGAGACUGAGGAAGGCCCCUCUCUGGUUAACGGUGCAUCUUCCACUACGAGAAAUGAGACUGCCUCCACAGCCGUCACUCAACUUGACGUCAAGGGACCUUCCUACCUGCCAGGAGUCCAGGGCAGGACGAGAAGCCUCUGAAGAGACUGUCCUCAGGUCUUUCCUAGAGCACUGGCCACACAGACAGGGCUUCCACUGGACUCAUGGGCUGUCUCUGACCAGGCUGCCAGGGCCAGACAAAGCCCGGCUCACAGCAGGCGCUGAGCAAGUGUUGUUGAAUGACUGAAUGAAUGAGCAAAAUAAUAAAAUGUGGCAAAGAUUGGCAUGAAGAAGGGUGGCAUCAUGGGCCCACGUGAUCUUGACAAGUCUUGACAGGACAGGUCAUGAAGGUUCCCAGUCACACCCCCUCUCCAAGCAACCCAGGGGAGAGGAUUUCCUGAUUGUCAGCAUGUAAUAACCACAUGUCCCAGUUUCUGUAUUUGGUGUUUGGACAUUUGGGCCUAGAAGACCCUGGAGCAGGGCCCCGCUCAGAGUGGACAAUUCCUAGACACAGCGAAGGACUCACCGGCCAGCACGCCUUCAUGUGCACACCGAGCCGUGCAGUCCACGCCCCACCACCUCCUUUAGUGAAGACCACCAUCCCCACCCUAAUCACCCAGGCCCACACCCCAGACCCCUAGGGACAAGCCUGUGCCCCAGAGCCAGCAACGUUAUUCAGAUGGCCAAUCCUAAGCUUGCUCACCCUGCUCUGCCUGUUCCCUCCCGUGGAGACCACAGUAAAGCCUCUUUCCCACAAUUCUCCUCGUUCCCCCUGCCUCCUGAGCCACGCUGCCAUUUCCAAGGGGCUCCCCGAGGUGUGGCAUGCCCCGCCUGCUGGGGUUAUGAGCAUAACAAACUGUCUUUUCAACGGCAGCGGGCAGCAGCCGUCUCCUGAUCUGUUGGCCUCACCACACCUGAAUAAUAAUAAAAC
ensembl:lncRNA